rnacentral:rRNA from 1 species
AAGGGUUGCGUAGGUGGUCAUUUAAGUCUGAUUUGAAAGCAGGCGGCUUAACCGUCUGAUGUGGUUGGAAACUGAAUGACUUGAAUGGGUUGGCGGUAGCCGGAAUGGGUCAUGUAGCGGUGAAAUGCAUAGAUAUGACCCGGAACACCGAUUGCGAAGGCAGGCUACUACGACUUGAUUGACACUGAGGCACGAGAGCAUGGGUAGCGAACAGGAUUAGAUACCCUAGU